CCCUACGGGGCGCAGCAGGCGGAUUUGUACGUCAGUGGUGAAAGCCUCCAGCUCAACUGUAGAAUUGCCAUUGAUACUGCUAAUCUUGAGUAUAGUUGUGGUAGGCGGAAUGUAGCAUGUAGCGGUGAAAUGCUUAGAGAUGCUACAGAACUCCGAUUGCGAAGGCAGCUUACCAAGCUAUGACUGACGCUCAGGCACGAAAGCGUGGGUAGCAAACA
rnacentral:rRNA from 1 species